GAUGAACGCUGGCGGCGUGCCUAAUACAUGCAAGUCGAGCGAACAGACGAGGAGCUUGCUCCUCUGACGUUAGCGGCGGACGGGUGAGUAACACGUGGAUAACCUACCUAUAAGUCUGGGAUAACUUCGGGAAACCGGAGCUAAUACCGGAUAAUAUAUUGAACCGCAUGGUUCAAUAGUGAAAGACGGUUUUGCUGUCACUUAUAGAUGGAUCCGCGCCGCAUUAGCUAGUUGGUAAGGUAACGGCUUACCAAGGCGACGAUGCGUAGCCGACCUGAGAGAGUGAUCGGCCACACGAGAACUGAAACGCGGACCAUGCUCCUGCGAGAGGCAGCAGUAGGGAAUCUGCCGCAGUAGGCGAAAGCCUUACAGAGCAACGCCGCGUGAGUGAUGAAAGUCUUCGGAUCGUAAAACUCUGUUAUUAGUGAAGAACAAAUGUGUCAGUAACUAUACACUGCGUGACGGUACCUAAUCAGAAAGCCACGGCUAACUACGUG
rnacentral:rRNA from 1 species